GCGUGCGUGAAGAAGGCCUUAGGGUUGUAAAGCGCUUUCGCCCGCGAAGAUGAUGACGGUAGCGGGAGAAGAAGCCCCGGCUAACUCCGUGCCAGCAGCCGCGGUAAUACGGAGGGGGCUAGCGUUGUUCGGAAUUACUGGGCGUAAAGGGUGCGUAGGCGGCGGUUCAAGUCAGGCGUGAAAGCCCCGGGCUCAACCUGGGAGGUGCGCUUGAUACUGGAUCGCUCGAGUCCGGGAGAGGAUAGCGGAAUUCCCAGUGUAGAGGUGAAAUUCGU
rnacentral:rRNA from 1 species